GAUGAACGCUGGCGGCGUGCCUAAUACAUGCAAGUCGAGCGAACAGACGAGGAGCUUGCUCCUCUGACGUUAGCGGCGGACGGGUGAGUAACACGUGGAUAACCUACCUAUAAGACUGGGAUAACUUCGGGAAACCGGAGCUAAUACCGGAUAAUAUAUUGAACCGCAUGGUUCAAUAGUGAAAGACGGUUUUGCUGUCACUUAUAGCUGGAUCCGCGCCGCAUUAGCUAGUUGGUAAGGUAACGGCUUACCAAGACAACGAUGCGUAGCCGACCUGAGAGGGUGAUCGGCCACACUGGAACUGAGACACGGUCCAGACUCCUACGGGAGGCAGCAGUAGGGAAUCUUGCGCAAUGGGCGAAAGCCUGACGGAGCAACGCCGCGUGAGUGAUGAAGGUCUUCGGAUCGUAAAACUCUGUUAUUAGGGAAGAACAAAUGUGUAAGUAACUAUGCACGUCUUGACGGUACCUAAUCAGAAAGCCACGGCUAACUACGUG
rnacentral:rRNA from 1 species